CUGCCAAGAGGACACAACCGUUCACGCCUGGAUAUGCAGCUCCACAGAUGCGUUGACCUCAGGAGGCCGAAUUACAGUCCGCUUAUGAGAGGCAGCGGUGUUGAGCUCAGCUCGCUAAAAAUGCAGUAUCCAAAAUAAUGUCGUCAGGAACUUCACUCCCACGAGAUGCUUGCUGGAAGAGGAUCUUUGGUCAUAUGAGGAAACCAAGGGUCAGCGAGGCUGCAGAGUGGCUCUCAGUUGCUGAGAUUCCAAUUCCUUUGACACGACCACACUUCAGCUGCCUCCCUGCGGAUGGAAAGACCCGUAUAAGAGACUGACUCCACCGUCUGCCAAGGGGAUGCUUCCUUUCCUCAAAGAGACCCCACUGGAUUCCAAUGGGACCAGCCUUGUGCCUAGCAGAUAACCACCAAUAAGAUGAUUGGAGAAACAUGGAGGAAAAGCCUUAUCCUGAAACAGCCUCUCCCAUGCAGACGUCACAGGGUCUCGGGGUCCACCACCGGGAUUCAUGCUGUGAUCACACAUUAUAUAUGAUACAGUAUUCCUGAACAGCCUCUCAUCCAGGUACUUACCAGGCCUAGCAAACUUUAGCUGUCAAUGUAAACUUGUUCGGGGGGUGGGGGUGGGGGCACAUUUCAAGGUCAUAUAGCAUUUUCACACUGUACUAAGGUGUUUUCAUGUCCAACCUCAUCUCUGUUUCAUUCUCUGGGAGCCCCCUGAAUCAUCCCCAUGCGGGUGUGGGUUGGGAAUGACCCUAUCCGUCUCUGGUCCAGCCCUGAGCAGUUCUCCCUGCAUUGGCUGAUGGUGGAAAUGGGUAGAGGAGGUCAGUGUGACAGCUCAGUCCACACAACCCCGUCAUAGACAGGCAUAAAUACAACCAAGUCAGAACCCUGUGGGUCUGCGUCAUUGGUGGCUGUGAGGAUGAUCCACUGGGUGUCGGACCUGGAUCAGAGUCACUAGCUCUUACCUAAGUUAGCUUUGCCUCUUUCUCCUCUCAGUUUCUUCAUCUGUAAAAGGGAAUUGACCACAGUGCGGUCUCCUAGAUCAUCGUGCCUGCUGUCUCCAGCACUGACAAUAGGCACUCCUUAAUUCCUCUAGGACGGGUCUGGGAGGCCCCACAACCCUGGAACUUUAUUUAGCCCUGCAGAGGACUUGGGGAUCAUCUGGCACAGUGCACAGUUUCCAGACUUUUAGAUUUCAACCAUUAAUAAAAAGGAAAACAAACAAAAAAUUGGACCAGCCAGAGAGGUCUUGACAUUUUACUUGCAGGUAAGAGCCCCCCAAAAUAAGUGUAUAAGACUACAAUCCACUAUCAUUUUUAUUUCAUAAAAGAAUCUUAACCAUCCUGUUUUUUUUUU